GAGAGCCAAGCUUUCCUCCUGCAGAGAGGGUACAGGAUACACCAUAUAUUAUCUUUCUGCUCUUGCACAUUCUAUCCCAGGCCCAGUUAGAGUCCUAUUUGAGGUGGAGGAGCCAGUUUACUGCCUGCCAAUGGAAGCCAUCGCCUAAGCCAGACAUGAAGUGCAUGUGGCAGAUUUGUGUCCUAUGGGUCUUCUGGGUGCUCAUCUUGUGCCUGAUGGUUCCCUGCCUGGAUCAGAAACCUGACUCGGCACCCCAGGAAAAAGUGAUGGACUUGGUACCACGGCGUGGCAACUGCCUUUGGUUUAAGUUCAGGAAGUGUGGCUGCCCACCUGAGACCCUCAACGACUCCCUCUGCCACCACACAGCCAGAGGACAGAACUGGUUUGAUGCAUGCUAUGAGAAGACGAUGGGGUACCUGGUGGGGACAACAGAGUCCAUGACCCCUGAUGCUGUGCUCUGGUGGUUGGGCAUGGACUCAGCAAGCGAGCUGGGCAAAAUGUGGGAGAAGCUGUUCAAGGUGAUUCCCAGACCCUCGGUGAGCCAUAACAAUCUGUACUGCAGGACAUGUGUGCUGGUGGGGAACUCCAAGAUCCUGCCGGCUUCUGGCGUCAGCAACAAUGUCACCCAGCAUACCACCGUCUUCGGGAUGAACCAGGCCCCCAUUCAGAGCUUCAAGACGGUAGGGAACCAAACCAGGGGACGCUCCACCUGCCGAAGGAAUGUGGGGGACCAGGGCUACUGGAGACAGCUGCUUCUGCUUGUCCUGAAGCUUUCUGGGCUGGCAUGGACCUCAGAUGCUCUGAGCCAGGAGGUGAAGGUCUGGGAACUCAGACAUUCUUAGCAUGGAGAUUUUGGAAGAAGAUCUCGUUCCCUAGUGGAAUGGAACAUAGCCCAGACCAGGAUGCCCGCUUUGGAUUUUUAUCAGAGGAGCAAGGAAAACGGGGGAAAGUUAAUCAGACUAUGCCUAGCACAGAAGCAGAAAUGGAAGUCAGCAAGAGUGAGUGGUGGACAAGCUCACCAUCAACAGCUAACGCCUUUAGAAUCCACACACGUCCUAGUCCUUUGGUCCUGAAAGCAGGGGAAUCUUGGGACUGUAGCAGCAACAGUAGGGCUACGAGGACUUCCAGGGGUAAAGGGCAAGAGGAAAUUGUGUGGACAUCAGUCGGGCACUGAAUAAAAUCCUGGUCUGAUUUUCUUA